AUUGAACGCUGGCGGCAGGCCUAACACAUGCAAGUCGAGCGGUAGAGAGAAGCUUGCUUCUCUUGAGAGCGGCGGACGGGUGAGUAAUGCCUAGGAAUCUGCCUGGUAGUGGGGGAUAACGUUCGGAAACGAACGCUAAUACCGCAUACGUCCUACGGGAGAAAGCAGGGGACCUUCGGGCCUUGCGCUAUCAGAUGAGCCUAGGUCGGAUUAGCUAGUUGGUGAGGUAAUGGCUCACCAAGGCGACGAUCCGUAGCUGGUCUGAGAGGAUGAUCAGCCACACUGGAACUGAGACACGGUCCAGACUCCUACGGGAGGCAGCAGUGGGGAAUAUUGGACAAUGGGCGAAAGCCUGAUCCAGCCAUGCCGCGUGUGUGAAGAAGGUCUUCGGAUUGUAAAGCACUUUAAGUUGGGAGGAAGGGCAUUAACCUAAUACGUUAGUGUUUUGAUGUUACCGACAGAAUAAGCACCGGCUAACUCUGUGCCAGCAGCCGCGGUAAUACAGAGGGUGCAAGCGUUAAUCGGAAUUACUGGGCGUAAAGCGCGCGUAGGUGGUUUGUUAAGUUGGAUGUGAAAUCCCCGGGCUCAACCUGGGAACUGCAUUCAAAACUGACUGACUAGAGUAUGGUAGAGGGUGGUGGAAUUUCCUGU
rnacentral:rRNA from 1 species